AUUUCAAUAUAAUUUAAAAAUUUUAUAAUAAAUUUUUUCUACGUUUGCCUGCAAUUCCUUUUUUGAUCUUUAUAUUUAGUUUCUUUUCUUUAUUGUUAUAUGUGUGUGUAUAUAUAUGUAUACAUUAUUGAAUUGGAUGAAGUAGUGUGUGAAAAUGAAGAAAUAUUACAGUGGAGGUGACAUUGCAGUGAAAUGACGUGUGAAAAAAUUGCUCCAGUGGGAUUGAAUGGAAAAUAAUAUUUCAUUUUAAUUUUAAUUAUUUUAAUUUAAUUUAAAAACUUUAUAAUGAUUUUUUUUUCUAUUUUUGCCUACAAAUAUUUAUAUAUUCUUUAAGGAAGUAAUUUCUUAAAUUUGAAUUAAAUAAUAUUUAUUUUUAUUUUAAUUAUUUUAAUUUAAUUUAAAAACUUUAUAAUAAAUUUUUUUUAUAGUUGUCUACAAUUCCUUUUUUAAUAGUAUUGGAUUGGAUGCAGUAGCAUAUAAAAAUGGAGAAAUAUUACAGUGAAAGUGAUAUUGCAGUGAAAUGACGUGUGAAAAAUUGUUACAGUGGGAUUGAAUAGAAUAAUUUACUGUUACAAAACCAAUUUCAAAUCAGUUCAAUGUGAAAACCUAUGUGAUAAAAAUGAACAGUGAACCUCUCUUUUCAGAGGAGGAAUUCACACACACACGCACACACUCUCUCUCCCUCCCCCUCUCAUUCAUCUAUCAUCUCUUAUUUACCUAUCAAUAAAAAAAUGGACAAAUAACAUUUAAUUAAUAACUGUCAUACAAAUAAGUUUUAAGCAAUUGAAUUGCACAAAGCUCCAAUUUCUUUUCCGAAGAGAAUUCUGAAAAUUGAGAAACCUACCAUCAAACAUCCCCAUCCAAUACAUAAAUGGGAGGAAACUCAAAGCUACGAAAUGUAUAUGCUAAAAUCUGACACUCUAAAUUUGUGGCUUUUAAACAAAUUAUUGCUGCGCUCAACUAUAAUUGAAAUGUCGCAAUGAUGUCGUUUGCAUACAUAUAAUUGUGAUUGACAAAAUAUCCAAUGUGACUUUAUUCUCGUGCUUCAAUUUAAAUAAUUGAACACGCUAAUUCCCUGAAUGAAACCUCGUAUUGAAUCGAUGUUGCUUAGGCUCGUAUAAUUUUGUGAUUUUGAUUUGUUCGCAUCGAAAAGAUGACUUUUUUUUAAGCUUUUAAUAAGAUUAAUGUUAAAUUGUGACUUCACAAGGUUAAUGUGACUUCUAAACAAAUGAUUAUGAUUCUCAACUAUAAAAUACAAUAUUACAUUGACAUAUCAAAUCUCCUUUACAUAUAUUCAUAGUUAUAAAUUAGCGUAACGGGAAAAUAUCAAACAUGAUUUCAUUCCCUGCUUCGACUUGAAUGGUUGAACACAUUAAUUUCAUCAGUAUGUUAUCAUUAGUUACUUUGAAUAUGACAUUUGUUAUUUAUUAAUUACUAAAAUUAUGAAUUGAUAGAAAUGAGUGGCUGUUUCGGAUCAUUUGGUUCUCCGUCAAGUUUUGCACACGUGCGAGUGGAGAUGUUGCUUUCAAAUUGGGAGUUUCUAUUUUGAUCAUCGUAAUUAAUAACGAAAUAUGAGUUAUUUUAGGAGCUGAUUUGUGCGAGAGAGAUUAGAAAGAAAAUACCAUGUGAGAUUCACGAUAGAGUGUUUUUACCUAAUUCAUCACUUGUCUUGAUUUUCAAAUUACAAAUGACU
rnacentral:lncRNA from 1 species